UAGACUGUCUCGAGGGUGCCUACGGAGCUGGCUGCACCUCAGAAUGUCAGUGUGUGGAGGAGAAUACCCUGGAAUGCAGUGCCAAAAAUGGUAGUUGCACCUGCAAAUCUGGUUACCAAGGCAACAGAUGCCAGAAAGAUGGCCUCUGGGGACCAGAGGGCUGGUUCUCCUCUGCACCCUGUGAAAAUGGAGGUCAGUGCAACAAAAAAACUGGAAAUUGUGACCUCACUCCUGAUUACACAAGAAAAUCCUGUACCAUAUUGAGAUGCAUUUCCCUUACCAAUCUGGCUCUCAGCAGGCGGUCCAGCCUGAUGAAGUAUCAGCAAAAUGUCAGCUCCCACAGAGAAGUGUGACAGAGGCAACAGUGCAGCAGUGACAGGCCUUUCAAAAAGCUAUUGUGCAAAUUCAGUUUUAAAAUAGGGAUGUGGUUGAGGACUGAUGGGUAUUUCAUUACCAAUGCGUUCAUCUCCCCCAUCGUCCAAGAGAAUGAGAGGGGGUCAUGGUGCAGCUGAUAUAAAGCCAUUAAGUUGAGUAGCGGUUGAUUUGGUCUGUAGAAGAUUUGUCUUCCUAUCUGUAUUUUCGAAAAGUUAAUAUUCAAAUUAGCUGUCAUUUUUAGUACAUACCUGCUAAAGGGGGGCCAAGAAUUGUUCUGUUUUCUACUUGAUCACCUUCCAGUGUCUCAAUUAGAUCAUUAAAAACAAAGUUAAUCAUGUCA
rnacentral:sRNA from 1 species